rnacentral:rRNA from 1 species
GAUGAACGCUGGCGGCGUGCCUAAUACAUGCAAGUCGAGCGACCAGACGAGGAGCUUGCUCCUCUGCCGUUAGCGGCGGACGGGUGAGUAACACGUGGAUAACCUACCUAUAAGACUGGGAUAACUUCGGGAAACCGGAGCUAAUACCGGAUAAUAUAUUGAACCGCAUGGUUCAAUAGUGAAAGACGGUUUUGCUGUCACUUAUAGAUGGAUCCGCGCCGCAUUAGCUAGUUGGUAAGGUAACGGCUUACCAAGGCAACGAUGCGUAGCCGACCUGAGAGGGUGAUCGGCCACACUGGAACUGAGACACGGUCCAGACUCCUACGGGAGGCAGCAGUAGGGAAUCUUCCGCAAUGGGCGAAAGCCUGACGGAGCAACGCCGCGUGAGUGAUGAAGGUCUUCGGAUCGUAAAACUCUGUUAUUAGGGAAGAACAAAUGUGUAAGUAACUAUGCACGUCUUGACGGUACCUAAUCAGAAAGCCACGGCUAACUACGUG